UUUCUAACCUUUUUUAAAUCCCUUAAUCUUGAGGUAAACUGCAUGCAUUUAGUCAAACAAGCAUCAUAAAAUUUGUUUCCUCACUGUUUGGGCUUAACCUCCUGAUAGCCUGUUUUACUGAAUAACUUGACCCUAACCUGUAGAGAAUAAGAGCAUUCAAAUUAGGAAGGCAGGACUAUCCAUCUUUAGUGCUUUUCCUGCCGUUAAACAACAAUGUGAACUUGGUCAAGUCAUUUCUGUUCUUUAUCUGUGACAUGAGGUAACUGUAUUAAAUUUUCAGCAUCAAAUCCAGCUAUAAAUUUGUAUUUUGUAAACAAGAGAAAGUAAAGCAGGAGACAGAAUGGAGAAGCUGGAUAGUGUUUUUUUUUUUUUUUUUUAAGGUUCUUUUAUCAUCAGAUAUGACACAAAGGGAAACAUCAAAAUGCACCGUAAAGUUAAAUCCUAGUUACCUUUUUUUGAAGCUGUUGGCAAGGUUUGACCACUUGGGGCAUCUUCUGCUGUGAGAUGACACUUGAAAAACACCCAUCAAAGUUUUCCUGAAAUCUCAUUGAUAUGUGGCGAGGACACGCCUUAGCUAUCACCCCAAUGGAUGCUUCUUUCAUUGACCCAAAUCCAGAAUGUAAUGGGGAACUGAAUACAAGUUGGAUGUCUCCACCCUUGGAAAGCACAUCUUUUGUUCUUACUGAAGUAGUUUAACACCACCAGAUGAUCAAGGGAUCAGGGUAUCUUUCUGGUAUCUUUUUAAUCACUGAAGGACUUUGACAGCAGUAAUGGUGGCAUUGUUGACUCUUAAAUUUCUGAACGUUUCACUUAAUGGCAAGUGAAGAGAUAUAGAAUCCCCCAAAGAGUGUCAAGAUGCUAACUUCCAACCCUAUUUUUAUGUACUGAAGAGGCCUCAGUGUCUCACUGAACUCUAACCUUUUUGUCAGUGUUCCUCAACACUGGAUGCGUAUUAUUACAUAACCUGAGGAGUUAAAAAAUACAAUAACCAGAUGUCCAAUUAAAUAAAAUUAGAAUCUGGAGGAGGUAGAACUCAAG
rnacentral:lncRNA from 1 species